rnacentral:rRNA from 1 species
GACAGAGGAUGCAAGCGUUAUCCGGAAUGAUUGGGCGUAAAGCGUCUGUAGGUGGCUUUUUAAGUCCGCCGUCAAAUCCCAGGGCUCAACCCUGGACAGGCGGUGGAAACGACCAAGCUGGAGUACGGUAGGGGCAGAGGGAAUUUCCGGUGGAGCGGUGAAAUGCGUAGAGAUGUGGAGGAACACCGAUGGCGAAGGCAGCCCCCUGGGUCAAAACUGACGCUCAUGCACGAAAGCGUGGGGAGCAAACAGG